GACGAACGCUGGCGGCGUGCUUAACACAUGCAAGUCGAACGAAGUGGCGAACGGGUGAGUAACGCGUAAUCAACCUGCCCUUCAGAGGGGGACAACAGUUGGAAACGACUGCUAAUACCGCAUACUGAAGGAGGGGAUUGCGUCUGAUUAGCUAGUUGGAGGGGUAACGGCCCACCAAGGCGAUGAUCAGUAGCCGGUCUGAGCGGAUGAACGGCCAAAUUGGGCCUGAGACACGGCCCAGACUCCUACGGGAGGCAGCAGUGGGGAAUCUUCCGCAAUGGACGAAAGUCUGACGGAGCAACGCCGCGUUAGUGAUGACGGCUUUCGGAUUGUAAAGCUCUGUUGUUCGGGACGCGGUACCGGAAUAGAAAGCCACGGCUAACUACGUGCCAGCAGCCGCGGUAAUUC
rnacentral:rRNA from 1 species